rnacentral:rRNA from 1 species
GACGAACGCUGGCGGCGUGCUUAACACAUGCAAGUCGAACGGAAAGGCCCUGCUUUUGUGGGGUGCUCGAGUGGCGAACGGGUGAGUAACACGUGAGUAACCUGCCCUUGACUUUGGGAUAACUUCAGGAAACUGGGGCUAAUACCGGAUAGGAGCUCCUGCUGCAUGGUGGGGGUUGGAAAGUUUCGGCGGUUGGGGAUGGACUCGCGGCUUAUCAGCUUGUUGGGGGGUAGUGGCUUACCAAGGCUUUGACGGGUAGCCGGCCUGAGAGGGUGACCGGCCACAUUGGGACUGAGAUACGGCCCAGACUCCUACGGGAGGCAGCAGUGGGGAAUAUUGCACAAUGGGCGGAAGCCUGAUGCAGCAACGCCGCGUGCGGGAUGACGGCCUUCGGGUUGUAAACCGCUUUCGCCUGUGACGAAGCGUGAGUGACGGUAAUGGGUAAAGAAGCACCGGCUAACUACGUG